rnacentral:misc_RNA from 1 species
UAAUAAGUGUUUUAUGGCACUUUUUAAAUCCAUAUCCACCUUGUGUGCAAUGUCAGUCGGUUUUCUUUUUCGUCAAGAAAAAAAGGAUCGACCAAACAUCAACCUUAUUCUAAUUGAACUUUUGUCUGAAAACUAUUAUGAAUAAACUAAUUCAAAAUA